rnacentral:snRNA from 1 species
AUCUCUUGGAAGACAUCAGAUAAAGUUGGAAUGAUAAAGAUUAGCAUAGGCCUGCGCAAGGAUGAUACGCACGAAUCGACAGAUGAUAUUUUUUUUG